rnacentral:rRNA from 1 species
AUGAAGUCACGGAAUCUCACAAAGGACAUAAAGGACAUGAUAACUGGGAUGCAGCUUAGUCCUGAUGGGUCGUACCUCCUCACCAAAAACUGCAACAUCAAGACCUUUACAGGACACCAGCACAACUUUGAGAAGAUACUGUUGAAGUGCAGCUGGUCACCCGACAAUCGCAAGGUCACUGCUGGGAGUGCUGAUCGUAUGGUCUACAUCUGGGACAUGACAUCAAGGCGGAUCCUGUACAAGCUUCCUGGGCACAACGGUUCCGUUAAUGAGACCGCUUUCCAUCCCACCGAGCCCAUCAUCGGAUCCUGCGGCAGCGACAAGCAGAUUUAUCUCGGGGAGCUUUAG